GACGAACGCUGGCGGCGUGCUUAACACAUGCAAGUCGAGCGGUAAGGCCCUUUCGGGGGUACGACGAGCGGCGAACGGGUGAGUAACACGUGGGUGACCUGCCCUCAGCUCUGGGAGUAAGCCUGGGAAACCGGGGUACUAAUACUGGAUAUGACUCCAUGACGCAUGUUGUGGGGUGGAAAGCCUUGUGCGGCUGAGGAUGGGCCCGCGGCCUAUCAGCUUGUUGGUGGGGUGAUGG
rnacentral:rRNA from 1 species